rnacentral:rRNA from 1 species
GGGUUGUGAGGUUAAGCGACUAAGCGUACACGGUGGAUGCCCUGGCAGUCAGAGGCGAUGAAGGGCGUGCUAAUCUGCGAUAAGCGCCGGUAAGGUGAUAUGAACCGUUAUAACCGGCGAUACCCGAAUGGGGAAACCCAGUGUGAUUCGUCACACUAUCAUUAACUGAAUCCAUAGGUUAAUGAGGCGAACCGGGGGAACUGAAACAUCUAAGUACCCCGAGGAAAAGAAAUCAACCGAGAUUCCCCCAGUAGCGGCGAGCGAACGGGGAGGAGCCCAGAGCCUGAAUCAGCAUGUGUGUUAGUGGAAGCGUCUGGAAAGGCGCGCGAUACAGGGUGACAGCCCCGUACACAAAAGCGCAUGUGCUGUGAGCUCGAUGAGUAGGGCGGGACACGUGGUAUCCUGUCUGAAUAUGGGGGGACCAUCCUCCAAGGCUAAAUACUCCUGACUGACCGAUAGUGAACCAGUACCGUGAGGGAAAGGCGAAAAGAACCCCGGCGAGGGGAGUGAAAAAGAACCUGAAACCGUGUACGUACAAGCAGUGGGAGCACCCUUUGGGGUGUGACUGCGUACCUUUUGUAUAAUGGGUCAGCGACUUAUAUUCUGUAGCAAGG